AUGUUUGUGUUGACUUUGUGUUGUGUUGGAUUUUCUUUUUCUUUUUUUUUCUUUCUCUCUGUCUCUCUAAAAUAAGAAUAAAGAUGCGAUGGAGAACGCAAAAACAUGGAGAAACAAAAACAAUA
rnacentral:ribozyme from 16 species